CAGUAGCCGCGGUAAUACGAAGGGGGCUAGCGUUGUUCGGAUUUACUGGGCGUAAAGCGCACGUAGGCGGACUUUUAAGUCAGGGGUGAAAUCCCGGGGCUCAACCCCGGAACUGCCUUUGAUACUGGGAGUCUUAAGUUCGAGAGAGGUGAGUGGAAUUGCGAGUGUAGAGGUGAAAUUCGUAGAUAUUCGCAGGAACACCAGUGGCGAAGGCGGCUCACUGGCUCGAUACUGACGCUGAGGUGCGAAAGCGUGGGGAGCGAACAGGAUUAGAUACCCCGGUAGUCCCUGUCUCUUAUAC
rnacentral:rRNA from 1 species